UGAUAGUAGAGGUGAUAAUGAUGUUAGCCUAACAGCAAGAGUUUCCCGUUGGGAGAAAGUGAGUCUUUGUGUCCAUUAAUCAACAUAUAGAGGAUUACUUCCUGUUUGACACCAUUGAAUGUCAGUGCAAAAUGAGACAACAGCUGGAGAGGGAAUUGAACCAGCAACCCUGUUGGCAGACAUUUGCAGUCAGGGAAUAAUCUCCGGUGCGGUCAUGAUGGAAUGGAGGCCAGCAAAGAGCGAAGGUUAUUCUCAGAGGGAGAGGCGAGGAAGGAGAGGCACAAAUGGCACAUCAGCAGCUGAGGCUGGAGGGCACGACGAGUGAUGACGUGAUAAGGUCAGGACAAAAAAAAAAAAGAAGCAGAAAUGUAUUCAACAGAAUAACAUCUAAUGCAGCAACAAUAGAGAGAGAGCAGCACUCCCACACACAGCAAUAAAAACCUGUACAAGCACAUGCAUGUGUUUGGGCAGAUGUGUUCAUAAGCACACCUGAAACGCUAUACUAUUCUCUACCAUCCCUGUCUGGAACAUUGUUAUGUUUCAGUGUGGCUGACGCCCAGUGUGUUUCUUUUAUCUGUAACAUAAUACUUCUCAAAGUUUCAUCCUGCCUCUCUUUGAUUUAUUCUCUCGUCUCUAUUAAACACUUAUUUUUCUGUGUGUGUGUCUCACGGAAACCCUCUUCAAAUCUCGAGACAGAGAUCCCUGACCAGCUCUGAUCCCCGCCUGAGGCCGACAGGAUGAGUGGAAAGGAAGGCUGGAAAUUUAAUAGGCUGAGGGGACUCAGUCUUUUUUUUUUUCUAAAUAUCUGUCUCCCACAUAUCCUUAUAACCUCUCUUAUCAAAACAUUUAUUCUAGCUGGGCUGAUGCUUUUCUUCUUUCUCUGGCGGCAUCUGUUUUUGUUUUGUGUAUCUCUUCACUCCCUAAAACUCUUCCUCCCUCUGAUAGAAAAUACAUUUGGUUGAGAUAGUAUGAAAGAGAAAAUCAUGUACAGGUAGCACCGCACGCUCUGUGUUUUCUUCCACUUAAUUACGCAAGUUGCGUAAUUGUGGGAUUUACGUAGCAUGUUGAAAGACUCAUAGCAGAUACUGCAAACGCCCGGAGACAAAUCCCUAGGAAAUAAACAAGGUGGUUUCCGUUUGCUGAGAGGUUUUGUAUAGCUGUCAGGACUUCCCCAGACUUCCUUUAAUCCACUUUUAGAGCUGUCGAGCUUUCCACCGUCUCUUUUUCUGCGAGUUUCUUUUUUUGAGCCAUCAAGUUUUCUCUGCUUUACUGUCAUUCGCAGAAGAAGCCCUGCAUGGUCUUCCCUGUGUGUGUGUGUGUGUGUGUGUGUGUGUGUGUGUGUGUGUGUGUGUGUGUGUGUGUGUGUAUCUGUGUGUGCCUGUACGGGCUGUGGGAGGAUUAUAAUAGUCUCAGUGUUUGUGUGUGCUUUCUCUCUGUGUGUUUGUGUACAUGUGUAGAGUAUGCAUACAUGGGAGAUCCCAGCCAUCUGACUCUUGGCUGCAGCAGCAGCAGAGAGGAGGUGUAUUUGUGGGUUGUGAAUUUCUAAAUAUGUGUUUCACGAUUGGUUAUGCGUUACAUACAUUCGUGUAUCAUGAGGAGGUCCCGUGUUUGAGCAGCGGAAGUCUCUGAAAGUCAGUCCUAGUGUUGUGUGUGUGAGUGAGAACUGGGUUCCUGUUGCUGAUCGUCUAGUUUUGGAGCUGCUGAAAAAGUAGUGAGUCAUUCCUAAGAAGAAAUCAAUACAUGUGUUUAGAGCAGUUCCCGGUGAGCUAAGUGGAAGAAGGUGUAUUACAGGAAUAGCAGCUUGUACAUAUGAAAUCAUCCAGGUGUUUUGCAUAAAAAUAAUUUAUCAUGAACUGGACUUGUACCCAUUAUUAUUUAUCACGCACUAGUUCACUUCCUCAACCCUCUUCCUCCUCCUUUUCCCCUCAUUUUUUGGGAGACAUUAUAGAACGGAAAAGCACCUUCAGCCGUGAUUAACCCCCCACUGCCUACGGGAUAUACAGUCAGAGUGUGUGUUGUGAUCCUCUCACAGUGCCAGGACGUGUGUCUGCCUGCCCAGCCAAGCCUAGGGACAGUCAGACACACAGUGUGUCUACACAUAGAAAUACACACACACACACAAACACACGCACACACACACACACACACACACACUGCCCCCUCCUGUUUCCCCUGCAGCUCUGGAGCUCUGAACCAGCUAACCCAGGCUGGGCUCCAUCCCUGCCCGAGGGAGGCCCUCUCCUGCUGGGGCCACAGUCCCGUUGACACCCUCCUAUAGUCUGGACUUUAUCCACUCCAUCUGUGAGCUUGUUUUCUAAAGUUACCUGUCUGGGGACGUGGCUAAGCAAAGACCACAAGAUUAGACCCGCUGAUAAGACGGUAAUAAUUCUUUACUAUCUGACAAAACGUAAUCAGUACACCCAGCGUGCCUAGACAACAACAGCCUGCAAGAGCACACACACACACCUCUCCGCAGAGGGUUCUCAAAUGAUCCGAACACAACCACUGGGACAACCUCUGCCAAAAUCUCGUCAGUAUAUAAUAUAUUAAAGUGACCUGUCUCUGCAGCGUCAGUGCAGCAACAGAUUUACAGCUCAUUUCAGUCCAUAACAUACUGUGUAAAACAAUGCAGUUUAGCACAAUACAAGUUGACAGACUUGUAUUACAACACAUAAUAACAACCCAAUAAGUCAGCACAAUGCAGUUGCAACAUAUAGUACGUAACACUACCCGACAGCAACAGAUUACAAAACACAACUCCAACAACAGACACCAACAGAACACAACGGCGGCAGGCCUCAAAUUAACUAUUAAAAUAAAUUAUCAAUUUUUUAGCGGUAGAAAGUACAAAGUAUAUUUACUCAAGAACUACAGGCUACUUAUGAACAAUUUUGAGGUACUUUACUUGAGUAUUUCCAUUUCAUGCUACUUUAUACUUCUACUCAACUAAAUUUCAGAGGGAAAUAUUGUACUUUUUACUCAACUACAUUUAUUUAAAAGCUUUACUAGUUACUUUCAUAUGGAGAUUUUACAUUAGACACAUAUGAUCAGUUUAUGAAAUGAUGCAUUAUUAUAGAUUAAACUACCCAAAAGUAUACAAAGCAGUUAAAAUUAGCAUUAAAAUUAAAUUUAUGCUUACUGUACAUGUUAAUGCAUCAAUAAUUAUGAUCCAAUAACAUUAUAUUAUAACAUUGACAGAGGCAUAAUGAUACUACUACUA